GUUUGUGUACUCUCCACAGGGUAAUUCUCUAACAUAUUUACACCGAGACAAACAAAGCCAUCAGCUACAGUACUGUUUACAACUUAUACAUUUGACCAAAAAA